UCGAACGGUAACAGGCUAGCUUGCUAGCGCUGACGAGUGGCGGACGGGUGAGUAACGCGUAGGAAUCUGCCUGAUAGUGGGGGACAACUUGAGGAAACUCAAGUUAAUACCGCAUACGCCCUACGGGGGAAAGCGGGGGAUCUUUAGACCUCGCGCUAUCAGAUGAGCCUGCGUUAGAUUAGCUAGUUGGUGAGGUAAAGGCUCACCAAGGCGACGAUCUAUAGCUGGUCUGAGAGGACGAUCAGCCACACUGGGACUGAGACACGGCCCAGACUCCUACGGGAGGCAGCAGUGGGGAAUAUUGGACAAUGGGCGCAAGCCUGAUCCAGCAAUACCGCGUGUGUGAAGAAGGCCUGAGGGUUGUAAAGCACUUUCAGAGGGGAGGAAAACGCUAGGGUUAAUACCCCUGGUCUU
rnacentral:rRNA from 1 species